AGAGAGAGAAAGAGAGAGAAAUUACGUAGAUUUAAGUUUCGAUCUUAGAACGACACGACGUCCAUACCUUUAAAUGUAGAGCUUGCCGUGUCGUUCUGUCAAUGGCCGUUUUACGUUAAAAAUAAAUAAAAAAAAAAAAAAAAAAAAAAGGCAAAGAUAAAAAUAAAAAAUAAAUAAAUAAAUAAUGGAAGAAACGAGAAGAGAAAAAAAGAGUACCAGAAAAACGCGAGAAAGAGUUAGAGAGAAGGGAAGAGAGAGAGAUGGAUAUAAAAGAGAAAAGAAAUCUUAUAAUUAGCGAGAAUAUUUUCAUCCUUAGCCUUUUAAUUAACGAAUCAACGUAACACGAACUGCCCGUCUAGUCGUUAAAUGUAUAAGAGGAACGAAUUAACAGGAAGGUAUAUAUGUAUACAUAAUACACCGGAAAUAUAAAUAUAUAAAUAAAUGAAUAUAAAUAUAAAUAUAUAUAUAUAUAUAAAUAUAAAUAUAAAUAUAUAAAUAUACGAAUUUUAAGGAGGAGUAUCGAAGUAAUGAUAUAUCAUUAUAUACAUAUAUUACAUAUAUUGUAUGUGACAUGAUAUAUUAUUAUAAACACUAUUAUGCUUCGCGCCGUUGAUUUGAAUGUUGUUAUUUAUAAAAGAAAAAAAAAAGUUACGAUAAAGAAAAAAAAAAAAAAAGAACGUAUGCGAGAGUAAGGCAAAGUGAUGAGAGAGAUGGGAUGGAUAUAGCGACGAGAGAUUCUUAUAAGUACACCCGACAUAUGUAAUAAAAUUUUGGCGUGCAACUACUGCCACAAAGAU